rnacentral:rRNA from 1 species
UACGUAGGGUGCAAGCGUUAAUCGGAAUUACUGGGCGUAAAGCGUGCGCAGGCGGUGAUGUAAGACAGUUGUGAAAUCCCCGGGCUCAGCCUGGGAACUGCAUCUGUGACUGCAUCGCUGGAGUGCGGCAGAGGGGGAUGGAAUUCCGCGUGUAGCAGUGAAAUGCGUAGAUAUGCGGAGGAACACCGAUGGCGAAGGCAAUCCCCUGGGCCUGCACUGACGCUCGUGCACGAAAGCGUGGGGAGCAAACAGG